rnacentral:lncRNA from 1 species
CUGAGGGCUCAGGAUCCACCGGCAGAGUCGAACUGCAAGAACUGAGCUUGUCCAACAUCCUCCGGGAUUUUAUUUUAUUUUUCUAUCUUCCUUCCCUUCUAUAAAUGAUCCUGGAAUUUUACCUGCCCUCAUGAAAUGAGCCGCCCUCAGCAGCUUCUUCCAUCCUGCCGUCCUACGCCAGAGAAGAAAAGACCCAGCACCAGGAAAUAAAGAGUGCCCAAAUCUUCACCCCUGUUUCAGAUGUUCAGUCCAUUUUCAUCAUGGCAGGGAGCACUGUGGCAGAUGUGGUGCUGGAGCUGAGAGUGCUGCUUCUUACAGGGAACAAGAAGUCAAUUGAAAGUCACCCUGAGGCAAGCAUGAGCAAAAGAGACCUCCACACAGCUGCUUCUUGCCAUGGCAGUUGGCUUUCCCCAAAAUGACUGAAUUUGGAAGCAUCCUCCCUCUCAAAGGAGUGCAUGACAUAAUUGCCACAAAUUGUAAAGUGGGCUUCCAUGUCAGGGGGAUUGCUAAGCCAAGGGAUCUGAGAUGGGAAGAGCGUUCUGGACUGCACAGGAACUCUGGAUGCUGCCUCACCACUGCUGUUGCUGUCAUGGUUAAUCUGCUGUAUCUUCUUCAUGUUACCAGCUCAGCCUACACAUGAUAAAGAAGAGGCAGUUGGACUGAGAAGACAGCUCAGCAGGUGAAGAGCUUGCCACAGGAGCACGAGGACCUGCGUUUCAUCUUCGGCACCCACAUAAAGCCAGGCACAACAGUACACACCUGUAAUCCCCGCACUGACCAGAGGAUACUUAGGGCUUGCUGGCCAGCCCGUUUAACUGAAUUGGUAAUCUCCAGAUUCAAAAAGAGACCCUAUCUCAAAAAAUAUCUUGGAGAGUGAUUAAGGACACCUGACAUCACCCUCUGGCCUUCACAUACCCGCACAUACACGUGCACACAAACAUAGGACACAGAAGCACAUACUCACAAGAGGGGGGAAAGAAGGAAGAGCAGAGAGGAGAUGCCUGAGCUCACUGACUUCCACACACCAAGCAAAGGCCAGGGAACACACAGAAACACUGGCCACCCACAAGCUGGGAGGAGAGGCCUCAGAAUAAAACCUGCCUCACUGACCUUAAAUCUCUCAGCCUCCAGAACAGGACAUUCCUGUUGUUGAAGCCACCUGACUGUAGGCAUCUUGCUGUAACUUAGCAGCUGGCUGGGGUCCCUUGCUCCACUCAAAUAGAAAUUAUGAUUAGAGAGAAAUAGAUAUCCUUGUGUUGGCAGACCUAGGCCCUUGAGUGCCAAAGGCUUGUGGGCUGGGUUGCAGACUUGGAGCGUUCUAGCUGAUCCUGAAUGUCUCAAUUAAAAAAAAAAAAAAAAAAAAAAAAAAAAAAAAAAAAAAAACCAAUGUUUAUUUUAAGCAUUGAGUUUGCUAUAAUUUCUUCUUCUUCCUUCCUUUUUUUUAUGUGUAUGUAUGUAUGUAUGCCUGAGUAUGUAUAUGCAUGCUUCAUUUAAUUCUCACAAAACUCCAUGAACAGCUACUGUUAUCCCAUUCUGCAG